GACGAACGCUGGCAGCGUGCUUAACACAUGCAAGUCGAGCGGUAAGGCCCUUUCGGGGGUACGACGAGCGGCGAACGGGUGGAGUAACACGUGGGUGACCUGCCCUCAGCUCUGGGAUAAGCCUGGGAAACCGGGUCUAAUACCGGAUAUGACUCCAUGACGCAUGUUGUGGGGUGGAAANCCUUGUGCGGCUGAGGAUGGGCCCGCGGCCUAUCAGC
rnacentral:rRNA from 1 species